UAAAUUACUAGUAGUUUAAUACUCUCCAUGCUACUAGAGAUAAUGUUGAGGGGAUCUGCCAUCACAAAAUCAUCAGGGAGAUCAUUCCAGCCUCAUGGAAAGAAGAAACAGAAGAAACCACAACUGUUGGAACACACUGGAAAAACCCUUAGACAGCUGGCCUGGAAGAAAGAAGUUCUCUCGCUCACAGGUGAAUUUUUCUGCUAACAGGGGUACCAGCCCGGGAUGAGACUUCAGUAACAGAACUCUCUGUAUAGAUGAUGCCCUCUUGACCAAAGCUGUGAGUGUCCGACAUGCUUCUGCAACUCUCAAGUGAAGGAAAUCAGCCAGCAUGCAGCAUUCCCUUCAUUACCAAUGAACUAAAGUCAAACUCUUUACAGAGUUUGGGUUAACUCUAAUUAGGCCUUCCAGCUGCCUGCCAGUGUUGUAGGAGGGGACUGUCCUUCAGGUUCAGGUUAAUUAAAACAUUCCAUCAGAGUUAAGUCAUUUUUAGUAAUUUCCUUAGAUCCCCUUCCCAGAGAGCAUCUCCUGACACUAGGAGCAGUGCCUACACAUGGAUUAUUUAUUCAUUGAUGACCCAUACUGCUUCAGAAUCAGCUCAAGAUUCCCUUUUCUGCUCAGCUACUGGAGAACUCGGGAACAUACUGCUGAGUAAAAGCCACAAUGUUGGCCUGUCAUCACAUUUAUCAUCCAAACUGCCAACUCCAAUAGAAGAACACUUCUCAGGCCUUUGUUUUUUAUGCCAUGUGUUCUUGGCUUGGAGACUUCAGCCCAGCGCUAUAGUGUGCAUUGAGUGCAUCUAUUCCCAGGCUCUGUUGUCUCAGAUGCCUUUAUAUUUGACAUUUUCUGGAAAUGACAUCAUCACAUUUUAUGCCUGCUGCUGACUAAUGGUACAGCCUGGAGAGCUUUUAAAAAUAUUUCGGCUGUAUCCAGUGGCGAUAAAUAAGCCUAAAGUCUGGAACGCACAGCAAAGGCUUUAAGGAGUUUCAGCAGAAAAGCACCACUGUGCAAAGUUCAUUUAUCCAGGUUUCUUCAUACUAGAGGACUAUCUGUGCUCUUUUCCUUUUCCUGCAGGACACUAAGAAUUGUCUUUAUAGAUUUUAGAGGGCAGCCAAUAGCAAAAACUGAAAACUCUUAAUAAAUCUUUAAUUAUCCA